GUGUGCCACCAGCACCCAGCUUAAGGGGUUUUUUAAACAGGGCUUUUUAUGGUUUUUAAAGGAGUGUUUUAGUGGGGUUUUUUGUUUUUGUUGUUGGCUUUCAGGGUUUCAUUGUAUAUUUAGUGUUUUUUUUUCUGGGUUUUUAAAGGAUUUUAGCAUAUUUUAGGGUUUGGGGCUUAUUUUUAGGCCUUGGGUUUUUUUUCUUUUUGGGUUUUACUGUUAUUUUAUAGGAUCUUUUCUAGUGUGCUCGAGUUUUUUCUUUUAAAUUUUAGGGUUUUAUUUUUGGGGUUUAAGAGUUUUAGGGUUGUCAAGCAGUGGUGGCCCAUGCCUUUAAUCCCAGUACCUGGGAGACAGAGGCAGGAGAUUUUCUGAGUUUGAGGCCAGCCCGGUCUACAGAGUGAGUUCUAGGAUAGUCAGGGUUGUACACAGAGAAACCCAGUCUCAAAAAACCAACACAAACAAACAAACAAACAAAAGUUUUAGGGUCAUUUUUGGGUCCUUGUGCAUUCAUUUUUAGAAUUUUAGGCGGUUCCUCUCUCUCUCCCUUUCUCUCUCUCUCUCUCUCUUUUUUUUUUUUUAGGUUUGUUUUAAGACAGUGUUUCUCUGUGUAGCCCUGGCUGUCCUGGACCUCAGUCUCUAGACCAGGCUGGCUUUGAUCUCAGAAAUCUGCUUGCCUCUGCCUCCCAAUUGCUGGUAUUAAAGGAGUGUACCACCACUGCCUUGCUUAGCGGUUUUUAAAAAGGGUUUUGUAUGGUUUUUAGUAGAGUGUUUUACUGUUUUUUUUUUUCCGUUUUCAGGGUGUUAGUGUAUAUUUAGUGUUUUUUUUUUCUUGGUUUUGAAAGGAUUUUAGUGUAUUUUUUUGUUUUGGGCUAUUUUUCGGCUUUUCGGUUUUUUUUUAGGGUUUUACUCUUUUUUUGUUUUUUAAGGGUCUUUUUUAGUGUUCUUGCGUUGUUUUUUUUUCUGUAAUUUUAGGGUUUUAUUUUUGUGGUUUAAGAGUUUUAUGGUUGCAGGCAGUGGUGGCCCAUACCCCUAAUUCCAGUCCUUGGGAGGUAGAGGCAGGAGAAUUUCUGAGUUUGAAGCCAACCUGGUCUACAAAGUGAGUUCCAGGAUAGCCAGGGAUACACAGAGCAAACUUGUCUCAACAACAACAACAAGAAAAAGUGAAAAUACUCGAAGGACCAAUUAGAGAGGUGGUUGAUGGAAAGUUGGGGUAAUUUUUCCUAUAGACCUAAGUACUAUCUGAUGGUAUUCUUAGCUUUUUAAUUGUUGAAAGUUAAUAAUCUGUUAAGUAAAUUGAUUCCAAAUGGCUUUUCUCUGUUAGUCACAAGAUAGAGUUGCAUCAGAAAUGUUCAAGGAAUGUCUAUUAGGGGUUAAAACUAGUCCAAAAUAAAGCUUAAUUAUUUUUGGAAUUGCACCAUUCCAACCUCUCUAAAUCACUCCCAUCCUAAUCUUUCAAUUCUCCUCCUUUCCCUUUUUUUUUUUUAAGGGGAUGGGUCACUGGAGUGACUGUGUCAUUCAUAGUGAAAAUUUAGGGUGGGUUGGAAGUAUCAUAAGAAAACAUAGGCUAGAGAAGUAGCACAACAAAGCCAGAGUAGUAAGGAGGGUUAAGGGUAAGGGUUGGGAAGGCAAGAGAUUGUACAAUCAAUCAAUUGUUCCAUGGGAGGUACAAUAUGAGGAUAAUAACAUCAGUUUUGAACAGCAAUUAAUCUAGAUAGACAUUAUUUUUUCCUUACUGCCAUGUAACUUCCCCAAGUUCAGCAACCAUUUGGCUUUGGCAAGAGAGUUCAUCUGUAGCUGGAAGGACCCAAGUCUGUCUUCUGUGAUUUCUAGUACGUGUCUUGGGAGUCUUCAGUCAGAUGAGGUUUUUGGAGGAAGGCAGCUUUGUUGUCUGUAGGUCUCAGGGGAUGGCGCUGUCUCAGCUGGAUCUGUGGCAGCAGGUAUCAUGUGAAGAUAGACCUGUAGAGUAAUUGUAACAGAGGAGCAGAACCCCAGCAGGGGAUGUCUGCAUAGGGUGGAUAGCAGACAUCACACCUGCAAUGCUUUGCUUAGGAGCACAUCACGGUCUGCUUUGGAUGGCUGAGGAAGAAAAUAUCAUGUUAAUUGUGUAUCUGGGGUAGGCAGUAACAGUUUAAGUCUGUAAAAAGAAACUGGUUGUUAAUUAAGGAUUGGAUGAUGGUAAUCAGCCUAGUUGAUUUGACCUGUGGAAGUAGAUAAGAUGACUUUUGAACCUUAAAGGAAAUCUUAAACAAGUUGAAAGAUUUUUUUGGACAUACAUCAUGAAUGCUAGUGAGAAAAUAAGCAUUUAUAUAAAGAAGCAAGAAAAUUUUUGGUUGAAAAGCACGAUUUGCCUGGCGUGGUGGUGGAAGCCUUUAAUCCCAGCACUUGGGAGGCAGAGGCAGGUGGAUUUCUGAGUUCGAGGCCAGCCUGGUCUACAGAGUGAGUUCCAGGACAACCAGGGCUACACAGAGAAACCCUGUCUCGAAAAACCAAGAAAAAAAAAAAAAGAAAGAAAGAAAGAAAGAAAGAAAAGAAAAGUAAAGUAGGAUUUAGUUGUUCCUGCAGGGGGAGCAAAGCCUCAGAUGCAGCUAUGGUGGGCUUAGCUGGAGGGGGAAGGGGCAUGCCAUGAGGUUGCCAUGUGCUCUAGAAGACAGGUCACCUUCCCCCCACCCCCCCGUUUUUUUUUUUCUUGGAAAGCAGGAGAUGGAAGUCUAGAGGGUUGAAUGAAAGGCUCUCUAGUCAAGGUGGCUGUAGCCUGUUAGCCAAUGUGAGAGUGAACACAAAUCUUGUCCCAGGCCUGCAGAGACCUCAGGGAACCUCGCUAGCCUGCAGAGGAAACAGAGCAAACACUGCUGUCUGAGGAAGCAGAGUUUAGAGCAGGCUUUGCUGAGCUGGGCCGAUACUGACAGCCCUUUACAUAGACACACAGCAGAGCUGAGAGCAAGGGGGUAGGGGCAGCGACAGCCCUUUACAUAGACACACAGCAGAGCUGAGAGCAAGGGGGUAGGGGCAGCGGAGUCUGUGAAUGAGGGUUAGUGACUGAGGGAGGGGGGAAGAAGCUCGCCAGGAACACUAUGGAGGGAGGGAGGGAGACACACACACACAGAGUAAAAAGCCUAGUUUUUGAACUAGGUCACUUUGGUCUUGGGCAAUUUGGAGUUCUCUUGUAGGUAUCUCUGUGUGAAGCGUCGUCUUUAGCUGGUUCUGUCUCUAGUGGAUGGUGCAACCACACUCUGCUACCAUUUGUGGGGCUGUGGGUGUGGGGGAAAAAGGGGAGAGAACCUGCGGCCCGCCAGAGUCCUGGUGCUCUGGGCGGGUGGACGGCCACCAGCUUGGCAGGUGGUGGACAAGGAGUAGUUCUAAGUACCAGGUUCCCAGCUUUGGGCAUCCCAUACAUUGAUGGACACCUCAGAAAAGCUGAGAACAGAAUAGGGGCCCCUGGGCGGCACUGAACCUCGGGGCUGAAGGGAGGAGAGGGCAGGGGGAUAGGGCGCUUGAUGGUUCCCACGCCGGCGAGAUUCUUUGGUCUGGUCCAUGGCUGGAAUGCAGGAUGGUCUUCUGGCAGGAGGUUAGAUGCGGAUUUUUAGGAGAAAGCCUAUCCCAUCAUUUAAGUAAGGCGGGCCUUGAUGAUCAGAGACAGUCUAUGGUUUUAGAGCUUUAUUGUAGAAAGGCAGGGUGAAAGAGAAAAGGUAGAAAAAGAGAGAGACCGGCCAUGGCCACGUGGAGAGAGGGGGGAGAUGGAGAGUAAGAAAGGUGAGGCCUAAAAAGGGCAAGGAGGGGCCUAAGCGGCUGCUCUUAUAGUGAGCUGGGCUACCUUGCUGUUGCCAGGUAACUAUAGGGAGGAGCAUACCUGGCUAUAGUCAGGUAACUGGGGGUGGGGGUGGAGCCUAGCCAGAAAGUCAGAAGCUUAGGUCAUUGUCUGCAUGACUGAUAGUCACAGAAUUAUGGAGUUGGGGCUCUGUGGUGUCAGGCACCUGUCUCUAGGAAUGUGGCUCGCUUUUCUGUGCCUUGUAGAGUUUCUCUACUGGGUCGCCGGAGCAAGCCCCAUUCAACCAAAAUAGGCUGCCUAUCACAGUCCCACAGUCAAUUAGUCUUUAAAGAUUCGGAUUCUUUUCAGAAAUUCUCACUCACAGUCUUCUGUUCAUAUCCAAUGAGGCAAGCAGGAGGGCCCUCAAGGAAACCACUUCCUGGAAAUUUGAAUAUUCUCUCUCUGUCCCCCUCCCUCCCUCUCCUCUCCUCUCCCCCUCCCUCCCUCUCCUCUCCUCUCCUCUCCCCCUCCCUCCCUCCUUCCCUCCCUCCCUCCACACUCUCUCUCAUGUUGAAGGAGGAAAACAUCUUUCCAGAACCCUUCACACUUUAACUCAACCCUC
rnacentral:lncRNA from 1 species